UUAGGUUGGUGCAAAAGUAAUUGCGGUUUUUGCCAUUGAAAGUAAUGGCAAAAACCACAAUGACUUUUACAGCAAUCUAAUAA
ensembl:miRNA